CCAGCUUUUUGUGAGUUGUCACUGUAGCAGACUCAUUCCCUUUUUGUUCGGUUGUCCAUACCCCCUUUGUUUUAUAUCUCCGCGAACAUCGACACUAAUGGCUGUUAACCACAAACAAGAAAUUAACUUGAGUGCUUUCCCUGAAAGGCAUUUGUAUAAUCGAACGCACAUGCUCCAGUGAAUAGCAGGCAUUUUGUCUCCCGAACACAGGCAGCGGUACUUGGUCGUCGAACACCUGGAACUCUUUUUGGCUACGUGAUGGAAGACGGACACUGUGUG